ensembl:lncRNA
UAAAAUUAAAGCNNNNNNNNCUUGGCUAACAGAGAGAGUGUGUCUGAGCCCCGAACAUUAUCAGGAAGGCUAUUCCAGAGUUUGGGAGCCAAAUGCGAAAAAGCUCUACCUCCUUUAGUGGACUUUGCUAUCCUAGGUACUAUCAAAAGUCCAGCGUUUUGUGACCUUAGGGAGCGUGAUGGGUUGUAGCGUGGUAGAAGACUAGUUAGGUACGCAGGAGCUAAGCCAUUAAGGGCCUUAUAAGUAAGUAAUAAUAUUUUGUAACUGAUACGGAACUUAAUAGGUAGCCAGUGCAGAGACUGUAGUAUUGGGGUAAUAUGAUCAUAUUUUCUUGAUAUGUUUGUUCUCUUUCUAGCUGUCGAAGAUCCUGAACCACCAAGCCCAAAGGAGAUCUUACAAAGUAAGAGAAACACAUAUAUUAUUCACAGAUAUCUGAAAUCUAUAUGUAUAUUGAGUAUAUUUACACUAUUUUGUAUAUAAUUGCAGAGUCUGGCUGUUUGAACAAGGUGGAACCAUCUGUAUCUCCAAAAGGAGAUGAGGUACAGCAUUGCCCUCGUCAGAUUCACUUGGGUGAAGGCGUUCGAGUGCGUAGAGAGGCCUGGUCAAGGAUACAAAACAACAUGCGGGAUUCCUUAUUUGUGAAGGAGUUGGCAGUGGCAAUCUGGGGAACUAAGGCUCUGUGGGAAAGAAGUCUCACAGGGAAGGAAUGCGCAACGACCAAAACAACCAAGCAGCGUUUAACCCCCCAGAAACUUCAGACAUUAAAAGUCUGCUUUAAGGAGUGGCUUGUCAAAAAGAAUGUGGAGGAGACAGAGUUGCAGGCCAAAUGGGGAAAGGCUGGACAGUACAUCACUGAAAAAAUUCAUUAACAUUAACAAACAAACAAAAAGUGCUCAAAAGAAAAUUUGAGCACUUAAGAUAAAUUGAUAAUUGAAAAGAUAAUUGUUGUGUAUGUGUUUUAUUGUAAUUUGCUUGUUGAGCCAGAUGAGAGUUUUUUUUUUUUUUGUUUUUUUGUUAAAUAUGUAUUAUUAUUGUGUUAAUGUUUACUUAUUUUAUUAAAUUAUUGUUAUUAUUAAAUUAACUUUUUUUAAUUAUUAAAUGAAAGCUUGUAUUUUCAUGAUUUUCAUCAUACCAAAAUUCAGUGUAGUUAGCAUUCCACCCUAGUGAACAGGCUACCAUCCUCAACAUCUAUGUUGACAGCACAGUUUCCAAUGUUAGUAACCAGCAUCCCAUGCUUGUCA